CCAGACUCCUACGGGAGGCAGCAGUGGGGAAUAUUGCACAAUGGGGGAAACCCUGAUGCAGCGACGCCGCGUGAGUGAAGAAGUAUCUCGGUAUGUAAAGCUCUAUCAGCAGGGAAGAAAAUGACGGUACCUGACUAAGAAGCCCCGGCUAACUACGUGCCAGCAGCCGCGGUAAUACGUAGGGGGCAAGCGUUAUCCGGAUUUACUGGGUGUAAAGGGAGCGUAGACGGCAGUGCAAGUCCGGAGUGAAAGCCCGGGGCUCAACCCUGGGACUGCUCUGGAAACUGUAAAGCUGGAGUGCGGGAGGGGCAGGCGGAAUUCCUGGUGUAGCGGUGAAAUGCGUAGAUAUCAGGAGGAACACCGGCGGCGAAGGCGGCCUGCUGGACCGUGACUGACGUUGAGGCUCGAGAGCGUGGGGAGCAAACAGGAUUAGAUACCCCUGUA
rnacentral:rRNA from 1 species